rnacentral:rRNA from 1 species
GACGAACGCUGGCGGCUUGCUUAACACAUGCAAGUCGAACGGAAAGGCCCUGCUUUUGUGGGGUGCUCGAGUGGCGAACGGGUGAGUAACACGUGAGUAACCUUCCCUUGACUUUGGGAUAACUUCAGUAAACUGGGGCUAAUACCGGAUAGGAGCUCCUGCUGCAUGGUGGGGGUUGGAAAGUUUCGGCGUUUGGGGAUGGACUCGCGGCUUAUCAGCUUGUUGGUGGGGUAGUUGCUUACCAAGGCUUUGACGGGUAGCCGGCCUGAGCGGGUGACCGGCCACAUUGGGGCUGAGAUACGGCCCAGACGCGUACGGGAGGCAGCAGUGGGGAAUGUUGCAGAAUGGGCGGAAGCCUGAUGCAGAAACGCCGCGUGCGGGAUGACGGCCUUCGGGUUGUAAACCGUUUUCGCCUGUGACGAAGCGUGAGUGACGGUAAGGGGUAAAGAAGCACCGGCUAACUACGUG